AAUCAACGCUGGCGGCGUGCCUAACACAUGCAAGUCGAACGAGAAAGGAGACUUCGGUCUCUGAGUACAGUGGCGCACGGGUGAGUAACACGUGACUAACCUACCCUUGAUGGGGAAUAACUUCGGGAAACCGAGGCUAAUACCGCAUAAUACCCACGGGUCAAAGGAGCAAUUCGCUUGAGGAGGAGGUCGCGGCCCGAUUAGUUAGUUGGCGGGGUAAUGGCCCCCACCAAGACGGUGAUCGGUAUCCGGCCUGAGAGGGCGCACGGACACACUGGAACUGAAACACGGUCCAGACUCCUACGGGAGGCAGCAGUGGGGAAUUUUGCGCAAUGGGGGAAACCCUGACGCAGCAACGCCGCGUGGAGGAUGAAGUCUCUUGGGACGUAAACUCCUUUCGAUCGGGACGAUUAUGACGGUACCGGAAGAAGAAGCCCCGGCUAACUUCGUG
rnacentral:rRNA from 1 species